CCAUACGUAAGAUUUCCAACCCCCAUUUAUAUAAUAAAUAAUUGAGUAAAACCCUGAAACCCUAUUUUGUCUGUUUUGACCUUUUGAAAUAUUUCAAAGGAAAUAUUCUUAAUAAAUUCCUAGGAAUUCUAGUGACCUCCCUAAGCCAUAUUUGGUGCCCAUAUAAAGUUUCACCUUGAUCCAAGGUGGUUAGGGUCACCAAAUAAUUCCAAAACACUUUCCGUCCAGUAUGAAGUUAGAGCAACUCUACAUAGCAAAGUUUAUCCAAUGGAGCUGAAACUUUGCAGGAGUGCCUAAUACCUCAAAUGUGAACUCUCUGCCAAAAAUGGGAUUUACGGGACUAGAUUUGCCCACACUCCCUUUGGAAGGGACAGUCCUGGCCAUUUAGGAGUAAUUUCAAGUUUACAUUGCUAAACUUGUUCAAUGGAGCCCAAACUUGGUGUAGCCUCAUGUUUUUGCACCAAAUCUAGUCGUGUUAAGUUUCACAGCCAGUGGUGGAUUGUAACAACCCCAAACCACUGUCGAGCACCUUCUGACAAUAUGGCAAAACCCCUCUUAACCCCAGCUACACCCAUUCCCUUUCUCUCAAACUCCUAGAUUAGGUGGCCAGCAUCAAUGCCCAACUCCAGUCAAGUGGCUCUUCUCUGGUUCUAAGUAGAAAAGCCCAAAAUCCCAAUCUAAGCUUCAACCCAGGGCUGACAGCAUCUGUUUUCCACCCCUCUUUUGACUAGCAGAUGUUCCCACGGGAUUCAAAUGGCUAGGCAUCUCCAAGCAAGGGCCCAGGACACGCCAGACGCGUCCAAGGCGCCCCAAAGCGCGCCAGCAUGCCGUGGCAUGCCAAAGCUGCGCUCUGGGCGCGCUACAGGAAGCAACCGAGGUGCGGGCGACCUCCCACGGCCAGUUCCAGCCUGCCCACGGUGUCUCUCCUCUCCCCCGACAGCUCCACUGCAUCAGGCAGCCCCCAGGGCCCCUCUUUCCCGCGUUGAGAGCCGGUGCGACGCGUGCCCGCACACCAGGUUCGGCCAGAGGAGCACAGCCACGCAGGCACGCCACUCCUCACUGCUCCCUCUCUCGCAGUGAGCUUGGCGGUCCAAAACCACAUCCUGAGACCGUGGUUUCGACCCCAGCCUCUCUCUGCACCCCCCUGCACGCCACGGUGAAACCACCGAAGCUUCCCGCCCGGUGCACCGUCGCGGGCCUAUAUAUAGGCCACCCCCUCGCUCCAGCACCCCUCACUCCACUCCACCUAGACCCCAAUCGUCUCCCUAGCCACCCCAUCAAGCAAGAAGAGCCCCGGUGCUCGAGGUCGACCCAGGCCCCUCCGCCUUGGAGCUCCUGUCGAUCUCCGGCUACACGGCGGUUCUCGCAUCCCUCUACCCUCCUACGCACUCCCCGUGACCCCAGGAACCUUUCCCCUCACUUCCCCGAUCGAUUUCGUGCCCGUAGCCACCAUCCCCACCGUCGACCGAAACCACUCCGCCGCGGCCACCUCGUCGCCGGUGAACCAGAACCCCCUCGUCGUCGACUCGACCACAAGCAGGUAGGCGACGACAAGCCGGACCCAUUCCCGCCAUUGUUAGGGCCGGAGGACGUCGGUAGCCACGUCGGCGGGCCUCCCUUCCCCUCUGUCCAGAGGUGGAAGACGACCCCGACAAGUGUGCCCCACCUUUCGGUGGCCCAUCCACCCCUCCCUCGCCUCUCACAGCCGCUGACCGCAGGGGCCCGCGCGCCUGGGCAGGCUGGCUGGCCAUCUGGACCGGCCCAGCCCCAGGCCGAGCCAGGCCAGUUUUUAAAGUGAAUUUGUGAUCUGUUUUUGAGUGAGCUACUUAUUGCUUUUUAUUUAAUACGACGAUAGAAACCACUCUUGACGAAGGAGUUGGACUUGAAGACCCCGAAGACCCCAGAUACUUAGCUGAUCAAGGCAAUCAGCCCUUUGGUCAUGUUUGAGCAUAUGCUAUAUUGCAUGCUAGUGUAGCAAAUAUUUCUGUUGCAUGUGAUCAUAAGUAUCGGUAAAUCAUUGAAGUGAUGUUACCGAUGGCUCCUCCGGAGCACUUGCAUUUUGAACAUGAUCCUACCACCUAUGAGGGUCAUGCUAAUAUCAUGUUAACAAGUAGAGCUAAGCAUACUAGCAUGAGCAUGAUGAUGGUAUAAAAUCAAAGGUUUAUGAAAACCCGUCGGGUACCACUAAUGCCCGAGGGUGAUGAUGAGUUAGGUGGCCACUUUUGGUGAAGUGGUGCACCGGGUAUUUUGUGUGUGUAUGGUUUCGGAAAUGGGAAUAGAUUUAUGAUGUGUCGACCGUCCCAACCUUACAUGUACAACCACGUUACCCCUUUAUGGGACGGGGCUUUGUUGAUUACUCUGGUCGAUGCUAGCAAAGAACCACAUUACUAGUGACGGGAGUGAUGUCUGGUCACUCUCGUGACGGGGUCGUGCCAGGUAGGGCGACUAUGCCGUUUUUACGUGUUCCGGGCACACCGUUGGUCCCCGCAUGGAUGAUACUGUCCAGAGUCGGUGCUCGUAAGACGUACAUCAUGUGGGUUGGGUACCAAUCGAGUGGACCUCUUUGUCUAGUAUCGUCAGGGGAAAGGCAUUGAUCGGGUACUUACCUCAGGUAUGCUAUAUACCGCGAGUCGUGGAUGACACAGAAGUUUCCCGGAUCUCGUGGGUACACCGUACAACCUCUGCAGAGUGUAAAACUAUUCGAAUAGCCGUGUCCAUGGUCAAGGACAGUUGGGUAAUCCUGCUUAAAUUACGUCCAGUCAUUUCCGCAUAAACCAAGUGUGUGUGUGUUUAAUGGUGUAUCUGAGAAAGAGUUGAUAUGACCAAGUUUGGUGACUUGGCAUAUCGGGUGAACCUGGAGUGUUCAGCGCUUAACAGAUAUAUUGAUAUAUGUAACCUGUUCUUCUAAAUACCAUCUAGCUUAUGAUACAUAUCCAUGAACAUGUUUAAUUACAGUUAAGCUGUAAUCCACCAAAACUGCAUAGUACUUGUUAAUCUACCAAUGGCAUUGUUCAUAUCAUGGGUUGUUUGCGAGUACAUUCAAAGUACUCAUUGGCUUGCCACUGGUUAUAUUAUUGACCAGACAUGGAAGGACGGAGUUUGGAGAAGAGUACGUCUUUGGAGACGGCCCUUCGAACUAGGACGCUUCUCAGUCAGAAUGCCUAUUGGUGUAGGCUGAUGGCAUGAGCACCCGCUUAGCCCUAAGAUUUCCGCUACUAGUUGUAUCAGUGUGAUUUGGCCUUAUAGGCCCUGUCUUGUGAACUUGACCAUUCGGUCAUGUGUUGUAAUAAUUCGGUACUUGGAUGUAACUCUUAAUAUUCAGUAUCUGUGUGUUCGGUGAGCAUUGAUCUCUGGGAUCACUGAGCACGUUCAUUCGGCGAUCUCGACUCAAAAGUCGGGGUCCCCACAGAGCUGGUAUCAGAGCCAUCCUGACUGUAGGAAGUCUUUGGCAGCAUGGACGAUAGCCGAGAUGAUUAGUGCACUUAGCCCUUACACUUGAGAUUUUCUGCACCCACCAAAAAUUUCUAACCCUCUCCUACAACCUUGUAGAUGGCCGCCGUACCUGAGAUGCUUCUGGAAACGGGUGUUCCCCUACUUUUGGGAGAUAGCCUCGAGAAGUGUCAAGUACGCCGCACGCCCAUCUUCCUCUACCACGAUCACUGGGUCAACGCCGACAGGAAUAUCACAUGGAUGUGAUAGUGAAGGCUAACGACUCCCCAACUAGUUGGUUCUUUCAAGGACCACAGAUGGAGAAUCUGAUGUUGGCAGUUGAGACGGCCGCACGAGAGGCGCUCGUGCGUCUCCGCGACAUCCUUCUCGAGAUGGCUAACGAGCCAGCAACUCGUCACCUACCUUUCAUUAAGGACGGGAUUGACGGGAGUUGGACACUCAACCCAUCUACAGAGGACGGGACGCCACUAAGGUUUCAGACCUACUUCAGCCUCUCCUCCGACACCUUGACUCACCUUUUGAUCAAGGAGUCGAUGACGCUUCGCCAAGAACUGCAUCAAGUCAAGGACCUACUUCGCCUGGAGAAGAUGCAGACCCGCAAGGUCAAGAAGGAAGGAGCACCCGGAGGGCAAUCAGCCAUUGCCUUUUGAGGAGGAUUACCACCGCUCCAGGCCACUCCUAUUCAGAGUCGCCGUCUGACCGCGGAAGAGUACACUGAGCUCCUCACUGCUUCGCCGACUAGAGACGCCGUGAUGGACCCCUUCCAUCUCCCACACCUCUGAAGGAGGAAAGUACCGAUGAAGAUGAAGACGAAGACCCUGCAGAACCUGCCUACUAGACCGAGCAGUCCGCCGCUUAGGAGUACGACUUAGGCAAUUAGGAGUCUUCCCCAAGCGUAGUGAGUACAUGUACCGGUUCAUGUGAACCAUGAGUGUUGUGUGAGCAUGUAUGAUGCAAGCCGCAUUUCUUCCUUAGGCAGCUUGUAAGAGACUACAUCACUUGUUUUAAAUUUAAUGUAUUAGCUUUUCCCAAAAACCUUUGUUUAAAAAUCUCACACUAGCACGACACCAAACCCCCCUUAUUAGAGCAUCAUCCCUUAUGAUUCCCGGCCAUUUCGGCAUAUUGACCUGUCUACUCCCCUGACAGGAUGGUGAUUGCAACUGGCACCAGCACCUUCGGCAACCCCGACUCUGCCACUUCUGGCCAGCAGCAGGGAACCGAAGGGGACGCUCAAGCUGGAGAUCACCACGAGCAGCAGCAAGGCGAUAUUCCUCCGCCACCGCCUUCUCCGAAAAGCUCGAUUGUGGCUCAGUUCCUCCAAGCUCUCCAGAGCAACGUCAAGCCAAUAAUGCCGCCAUCCAACAGUUGGCUCAAGUCUUGGUUAACAAUCCGCCGCAGAACAGAAAUGGCAACGGGCGCUCUACUCUAUCUGAGUUUAUGCGGACUACGCCUCCUAUAUUCACGGAGACGACUGAACCAUUGGAUGCCGAUGACUGGAUCCGCACUACCGAAGACCUCCUCGGCUGGUCAAGUGCACCGAUGAUCGCGAGAAAGUCCUUUAUGCUUCUCACUGUCUCGGAGGCACGGCCAGAGCUUGGUGGGACGGGUUCCAGAUCAUGCGAGAAGGGCAAGUUAUCACUUAGGCAAUAUUCAAGGAAGGAUUCCGCACUGCUCACAUUCCUCCCGGAAUGAUGACCAUUAAGAAGCGGGAAUUCCGAGCCUUAAGGCAAGGCAGUGGAACCGUCAAGGAGUAUCUGCAGAAGUUUAACCUCCUGUCGAGAUAUGCACCAGAAGACGUCAACACUGAGGCCGCAAAAGUGGAACGCUUUAUGGAAGGACUGCAGCAGUCACUCCAGUAUCAACUAGUUGUUUGUGAAUGUCGUACCUUCUGCGACCCGGUUAACAAGGCCCUCAUGUUGGAGGAUAAGCGUCGUGCAAUGGACGACACUCGUAAGCGCAAGCUGAUGGGUAGUGGAGGACCCAGUAACCCGAAACCACGCCCAUGGCAGUCAGCUCCAGCAAGACCCAGUUAUCAGCAGCAGCAAUAUAAGGCUCCAACAUUCCGCCGGAACUACCAGCCUCAGCAACAAGUCAACACCAAGCCAGCAUUCAACCCACCGAACAACAAUGGAGUCAAGACCAACAUCCCGGGACAAGUUACCUGUUUUGGAUGUGGACAAGCUGGGCACUAUUCCAGGCAGUGCCCCAACAAGAAGCCCGACGCACCGCGCCCCAAUGUGCCAAAUCAAGGUCAAGGAGCACCAGGUAGAAACCAAGGUCCCCGCAAUCAGCAGUAUCACAGCAGGGGACGUAUUAAUCACAUCUCCGCAGAAGAAGCAGGGGAAGACCCGGACUGCAUUCUGGGUACGUUCCUCGUCACAUUCUGGGUACGUUCCUCGUCAACUCCGCCCCAGCAACAGUAUUAUUUGAUUGUGGUGCUUCACAUUCUUUUGUUACUCAGAAGUUUGCGGAAAAAUGUGGUUUGAGGCCUUCCCUACUUAAUGGGCAAAUGGCAGUACAUACCCCAGGAGCAGUGCUAAGGAUCAACCUAGGAUGUAGAGGAGUCGGGAUCAAUAUUAAUGGGAUAAGCUUCUCAGCAGAUCUCAUUGUCAUUAAGUCGCAAGGCUUAGAGGUAAUCCUUGGAAUGGAUUGGUUGGCCAAACACCAGAGCAUCUUGGACUAUGCCAACAGGACUAUUACCAUGACAAGCAACCAAGGGGUCAAAGUCAAGUAUGUCCCUGAGCCUAUAUCCACUCGAGUCCCGCAGGUGAAUAGCCUAUCGGGAGAAGAGCUGGACCGAGUGUCGAUAGUCUGUGAAUACUCGGACGUCUUUCCUGAUGAGCUACCAGGGAUGCCUCCCGACCGAGACAUCGAGUUCAUCAUUGAGCUCAUGCCCGGGUCGAGGCCUAUCUAUAAGAACCUUAUAGGCUGGGAUCCGAAGAGCUAGCAGAGCUGAAGAAGCAGCUGGAUGAGCAACUCAGGAAGGGAUUCAUUCGUCUGAGUGCAUCACCUUGGGGAUCACCUGUUCUGUUCGUGUCUAAGAAGGAUGGGACUAUCAGACUCUGCGUCGGUUACCGUUCUCUCAAUGAAGUCACGAUCAAGAACAAGUACCCACUCCCCAAGAUUGAAGACUUGUUUGACCAGUUAAAUGGAGCCAAGGUAUUUUCCAAGAUCGGUCUCUGAUCUGGAUAUUACCAACUGAAGAUCCGACAUGAAGACAUACCCAAGACUGGAUUAACGACCCGGUACGGUCUAUACGAGUGCACAGUCAUGUCCUUUGGAUUGACGAAUGCCCCAGCAUACUUCAUGUACCUCAUGAACAAGGUCUUCAUGGAAUACCUGGACAAGUUUGUCGUCGUAUUUACCGAUGACAUAUUAAUCUUCUCCAAAUCCGAAGAAGAGCAUGAGCAACACUUGAGGUUAGUGUUGGAGAAGCUUUGAGAGCACCAACUUUAUGCCAAGUUCAGCAAAUGCCAAUUCUGGCUGAACGAAGUUGGAUUCUUGGGUCAUACCAUGACGGCAAGCGGAUUGGCGGUCGAUCCUUCCAAGAUUACUACAGUAACCAACUGGGAGUCGCCAAUCAAUGUGAAGGAAGUCAGGAGCUUCCUCGGACUCGCGGGAUAUUACCGCAAGUUCGUAGAAGGAUUCUCCCGCAUCGCUCGACCCAUGACUCAGCUCUUGAAGAAAGGCAAGAAGUUCGAAUGGACGCCGGAGUGUGAAACAAGCUUCCAGGAGUUGAAGAAGAGAUUGCCUACCGCCCCGGUAUUGGCUACUCCAGAUAUCAGCAAGGAGUUUGUGAUAUAUUGUGAUGCCUCCAGAAUCGGGCUCGGUGGAGUCCUAAUGCAAGACGGAAGGGUCGUGGCAUAUUUGUCACGGCAACUGCGCCCGCAUGAGGAGAACUAUGUCACCCAUGAUCUCGAGUUGGCAGCAGUAGUGCAUGCCCUGAAGACAUGAAAUAUACACUGACCACAAGAGUCUGAAGUAUAUCUUUACUCAAAGGGAAUUGGAUAUGAGGCAGCGAAGAUGGUUGGAGUUAAUCAAAGACUACGACCUCAGCAUUCAAUACCACCCCGGUAAGGCCAAUGUGGUGGGUGAUGCCUUAAGCCGGAAAGCCAACACCUUGAAUGCUAUGCUCAACGAAAGGCUACCCGCCUUAUAUGAAGAGAUGGAGAGCUUCGGGUUGGAGCUAGUUGAACCAGGAUUCCUAACCAACCUAGAAGUCAAACCAGGAUUCCUAACCAACCUAGAAGUCAAACCAACGCUGGCAGACGACAUCAAGGAGGCCCGGAAGGGGCACAAGAGCAUUGAAGGCAUCAAGAAGAAGAUCCAGGAAGGCAAGGCCCCAGAAUUCUCGGUGGAUGAGCAAGGAGUAGUGUGGUUUGGCAAACGUUUAUGCGUACCCAACAAGGCGAAACUCAAGGAUCUGAUCCUGCAGGAAGCCCAUGACACACCCUACUCUAUUCACCCAGGAGGCACCAAGAUGUAUCAAGACCUCCGAGAAAAAUUCUAGUGGCACGGCAUGAAGAGGGAAAUAGCGUCCUAUGUUGCCAAGUGCGACGUGUGCCAGCGAGUCAAAGCUGAACAUCAACGACCUGCUGGACUGCUACAACCUCUCCAGGUGCCCGAAUGGAAGUGGGACCGAGUCGGCAUGGACUUCGUCACCGGCUUACCCAGGUCCAGCAGAGGCCAUGACUCUAUAUGGGUCAUCGUCGACCACCUGACCAAAAUGUCUCACUUCAUUCCCGUCAGUACCACCUAUGGGGGCGACAAGCUGGCUAGCCUCUACAUUGAGCGUAUUGUGAGCCUUCAUGGAGUCCCCAAAGAGAUCAUAUCUGACUGAGGCACGCAGUUCACCUCAAGAUUCUGAAAGAAGUUCCAAGAAGCCCUCGGAACCAAGCUCUCUUUCAGCACCGCUUUCCACCCGCAGACGAGCGGACAGACGGAGAGAGUAAACCAGAUACUCGAAGAUAUGCUCCGCACUUGUCUUGGCACAUGGUGCCAAAUGGGAAGACUGUCUGCCGUUCGCUGAGUUCUCAUACAACAACAGCUACCAAUCCUGUCUCCAGAUGGCCCCAUUUGUAAUGUUGUACGGACGAAAGUGUCGCACCCCGCUCAACUGGUCCGAUUUUCGGGCCGGAAGUUCUGCAAGAGGCAGAAGAUAAGGUGGAGCUUGUCCGAGAUAGCUUGAAGGCAGCCAAGUCGUGACAAAAGAGCUAUGCGGAUUCUCACCGCAGAGAAUUGGAGUUCAACCUUAAAGACCAGGUGUACCUCCACGUCACACCUCUCAAGGGAACCAAGCGUUUCCACGUCAAGGGGAAACUUGCUCCAAGGUUCAUUGGACCAUUUAAGAUCACGGCAAGGCGUGGAGAAGUUGCUUACCAGUUGGAGCUACCUCCGGAACUUUCGGGUGUGCACAACGUCUUCCACGUGUUACAACUCCGGAAGUGUCUGCAAGCGCCAAACCGUCCAGAUCUUUAUAAGGACAUUGACCAUCAGGCCAACGACCUUCAGCCAGAUCUCACUUAUCGUGAGAGGCCGAUCCGCAUCCUGGAUGAAGCAGAGCGUUGCACCAGAAGUCGCACCAUCAAGUAUUUCAAGGUUCAGUGGAGCAACCACACCGAAGCAGAAGCAACAUGGGAGCGUGAAGACUAUCUCCGAUCUGAAUUUCCGUACCUUUUUAGCACCUAGCUUAGGAAUCUCGGGGACGAGAUUCUUGUAAGGGGGAUAGGUCUGUCCCACCCUGUUUUCACUUCACUUUUACUGUAAUUCAAAAAUCUGAGUUUAUGAAAACUUCUCCAAAAUCAAUGAUGUGAGUGUCAUUGUUGUCAUUGUAUGCUUGGUUGUGUAUUAGCAAAACCAUAUUUUUCAUAACUUAAAUAUUCUCAAAAUCUCUUUUCCUAUUUCUGAUUAUUUCAAAUCCUGCCUUGGGUUGCACUACAAGUCCUUGAUGGCAACAGAGUGCUCUUACCCAAAGUUGGUGAUUUGGUUCUAAGACUAUUUUUACUCUCAAAAACCAUAAAAUNNNNNNNNNNNNNNNNNNNNNNNNNNNNNNNNNNNNNNNNNNNNAUCUGAGAAAAUUUGGAGAUACUCAGAGGGCAUAUAUUUUCCAUACAUAAAAUUUUCAACCCACAUUUAUAUUAUAAAUAAUUAAGUAAAACCCUGAAAACCUAUUAUGCCUGUUUUGACCUUUUGAAAUAUUUCCGAAGGAAAUAUUCUCAAUAAACUCCUAAGAAAUUCCAGUGACCUCCCUAAGCCAUAUUUGGUGCCCAUAUAAAGUUUCACCUUGAUGCAAGGUGGUUAGGGUCACCAAAUAAUUCCAAAACCCUUUCUGCCUAGUAUGAAGUUAGAGCAACUCUACAUAGCAAAGUUUAUCCAAUGGAGCAGAAACUUUGCAGGAAUNNNNNNNNNNNNNNNNNNNNNNNNNNNNNNNNNNNNNNNNNNNNNNNAGGAAUGCCUAAUACCUCAAAUGAGGACUCUUUGCCAAAAAUGGGAUUUGUGGGAAUGGAUUUGCCCACACUCCCUUUGGAAGGGACAGGCCUGGCCAUUUAGGAGUAAUUUCAAGUUUACAUUGCUAAACUUGUCCAAUGGAGCCCAAACUUGGUGUAGCCUCAUGUUUUUGCACCAAACCUAGUCCUGUUAAGUUUCAUAGCCAGUGGUGGAGUGUAACCACCCCAAACCACUGUCGAGCACCUUCUGACAGUAUGGCAAAACCCCUCUUAACCCCAGCUACACCCAUUCCCUUUCUCCCAAACUCCUAGAUUAGGUGGCCAGCAUCAAUGCCCAACUCCAGUCAAGUGGCUAUUUUCUGGUUCUAAGUAGAAAAGCCAAAAAACCCAAUCUAAGCUUCAGCCCACGGCUGACAGCAUCUGUUUUCCACCCCUCUUUUGACUAGCAGAUGUUCCCACGGGAUUCAAACGGCUAGGCAUCUCCAAGCAAGGGCUCAGGACACGCCAGACGUGUCCAAGGUGCCCAGAGCGCGCCAGCAUGCCGUGGCAUGCCAAAGCUGCGCUCUGGGCGCGCUACAGGGAGCAACCGAGGUGGGGGCGACCUCCCACGGCCAAUUCCAGCCUCCCCGCGGUGUCCCUCCACUCCCCGGCAGCUCCACUACAUCAGGCAGCCCCCAGGGCCCCUCCUUUCCCGCGCUGAGAGACGGUGCGACGCGUGCCCGCGCGCACCAGGUUCGGCCAGAGGAGCGUGGCCAUGCAGGCACGCCACUCCUCACUCCCCCCUCUCUUGCAGUGAGCUCGGAGGUCCAAAACCACGUCCUGAGACCGUGGUUUCGACCCCAACCUCUCUCUGCACCCCCCCUGCACGCCACGGUGAAACCAUCGGAGCUUCCCGCUCGGUGCACCGUCGCGGGCCUAUAUAUAGGCCACCCCUCGCUCCAGCACCCCUCACUCCACUCCACCUAGACCCCAAUCAUCUCCCUAGCCACCCCAUCGAGCAAGAAGAGCCCCGGUGCUCCAGAUCGAUCGAGGCCUCUCCGCCUUGGAGCUCCUGUCGAUCUCCGGCUACACGGCGGUUCUCGCGUCCCUCUGCCCUCCUACGCACUC
rnacentral:lncRNA from 1 species